AACUUUCAACAACGGAUCUCUUGGCUCUCGCAUCGAUGAAGAACGCAGCGAAAUGCGAUAGGUAAUGUGAAUUGCAGAAUUCAGUGAAUCACUCGUCAAUCUUUGAUUACGCAUCAUGUGCGCCCUUUGGUAUUCCUUAGGGCAUGCCUGUUCGAGCGUCA
rnacentral:rRNA from 1 species